rnacentral:lncRNA from 1 species
AUUGAAGGCAAAAGGAAUAGAGUAUAAUUUGGCUCAACAGGAUGGAAUGUUGGUGCCAUCUCUUAAGAUUUAAAAUGCACGAGAGAGAAGGAAAUCUUUUAGAGAGGCAUGUCAAGAUUCUAUUUCUAUAGGAAGCCACUGCCUCCCCUGGCUGUGCCACAGCGACCUAACAGUGAUGCUCAUGAUGUGAUCUCAUAAACAAGACGUAUGGAGGAGUUCUCUUAAUAUCAGCAAGGUGAACUGGGACAUUCUUCUUUCUCAGAAGAAGAAACAUCUUGUAAAUUGAUGACUGGGGCAAGAUAACCAUAAUAAUUUUAGUGAGAAGAUUAAUACUCAAGGACCUGACUUGAUAAUUACUUAUUUGUGUUUUUCAUGGUUAAAAAAAUAAAAGAAGCACAAUGACCAGUACAUGAAAUCAGCAUUUGGACCAAAUUAGCAAGAUUUACUGUUGACUCUGGUUUAUACAUCCCCACUCAUGAGCAUACUUCUGAAGGAAAACUUUACAAAAAGAGCCAAUGGACUCAGCACUUUCUUUACUAUUUGUUCAAUAGCCUAUAUUUCUAGAUAUUAAAUAUUUUUUGUAAGAUAUAUGCACAUAGAAGGGGGACUUCUAGGAAUUUAUAACCAAAAUUUUAAAACUAUUUUUAUAUUUUUUUAAAUCUUUAAAAAUUUUAAUUACUGUGAUAUUGAUUAUACACCUUUUUUAUAGAUGAUUUGUUUAAAUUAUAUCUGGAAAAUAGAGUUGAUUUACUUUCAGACAUGAACUAUACAAACAGGAUAUAUUUAUAUGGCUUGAGGUAUGUUUUGUAAUAGCGUUGUUCUUUAAGUGUACAUCGUAAUUUGACCUAAUUUAAAAAUAAUAUAUUUUCGAAGUAGUAGAUUCUCAGAUCUUUAUUCUAACAAUUACAUGAUUUGAAAACAGUACUCAAUGAGACUGGAAAUACCUUUUGUACCUAAAUGUUUUUUAAAUUAAUCAAAAUACAUUCUGUGAGAUACUAUUAAAAGUCUCAGUAAAGUCCUAUUUUAAAGGUUAGACACUUUCAGAGAUCAAGGUGCUCCCUAUACUCCCUUGUUCCAUCAGAAGCUGCAGUGACUCUUUUAGGUGAUUCUAAUUCUUUCAUGCCUUGAAAUUAAACUAUGAAAUUAAAGGCAGAAAAACUGGAAAACCUACUGCAGGUCCAGAGACUUCUGUUUUACAACUGGGAAACAGCUUGUGUACUAAAGUAAUGAGAAUAAAAAUGUUGGCCCAAAAUUACUUUUAUAAAUAAAUAAUUCCAAAAUAAUUUCUUAAUUUAAAAUGAUAGCACUUCUCUUGCACUUAAGAAUGGCAUCCAUAAGAUUCUGUAUUUGGCAUUUAGACUAACUUCUAGAUGUAUAUUUUUAAUAAUAGAUUCAUAAUGUUACAUUUAAUUGAAAACAAACCUUUAUAUCCAAUGAAAAUAGUAUAAACAGAAUGAUUUUUAUACCACCUUGUUAAGAUUGGUGCUUUUGGUAACUUGUACUGACACAACAGACAUGUGCUAGUAUCUGAUAACAUUAAGUACAUUUUAUGUCGUUUAAUAUAAUUAUUUACUUUAAAAAUUGUACUUCAGAACAUCAGAUUUUAUUCACAUUUUUUAACUCACUGAACUUUAAUAAUCAGGUCACCUGUACUCUAGUCAGCACUGUAUAUAUUCUUGGAGUUUGUACAUGGGACUUAGCAACCACACUGAGUGAGGUAAAAGCAUUUGAUUUCAGAUCUAAAAUUCGUAACAACCUAAAUUUGAGAGGUGGCUGAAAUGUGAUGAAAAGCAAUACGAAAAGACAAUGUAAACUUUGAAAAGGAUUUUAGAGGGAAAAUUGCAUAGCUUUUUGUAACAUUUACUUAAUUUUAAAACUAAACUCAUACUUUUGCUAUCUUUUUAAUAUUUAUCUCGUUUGGGAGUAUACGUGUUUUUAAAAUUUGUGUUUUCUAUCUGUUUACUAUAGUGUAGCUACUGGCUUCAUUUAAUAAAAAUAAAUGAUUUUGAAAUUAAAUAUAAUAUAGAAUUCACAUUUUAUAUAGCUCUCUCAAAAAUUAAUUUUUAUUCCUUAAGCAUUUUAAAAACAUUUUAAAAAAUGUUUUGUAAAUCCAGGUGUAUUUUAACAAUUAAAUGCCUAUUUUGUUAUAUGUUAUACUUUUAUUCUUAAUUCUGAAUUUUGACAUUUUCACACAAUAAAAAUAAUUUAUAUCAAUAUUCUGUUUCUCUUUUCAAUUGGUAGAUUUAAAUGAUUUCCUUUGGGUAAUAAAAUAGGUAAAGAUUUUAAAAUAUGAUUAUUGAAAAACAGUUUAAAUCAGUAGAUUAAAAUAAUGCAUUUUUUUGAUACUUUACACACAAAACUUUUUUCUCUCUGCAAGUUUUUAUGUAUGUGGGAAAGAAUUUGUGAUUUUAAAUGCAGCUACAAAUAGC